rnacentral:rRNA from 1 species
UACAUGGGGUGCAAACGUUGCUCGGAAUCAUUGGGCGUAAAGCGCGCGUAGGCGGUUGCUUAAGUCGGAUGUGAAAGCCCUCGGCUUAACUGAGAAAGUGCAUCCGAAACUGAGCAGCUAGAGUACGAAAGAGGGUCGCGGAAUUCCCGGUGUAGAGGUGAAAUUCGUAGAUAUCGGGAGGAACACCGGUGGCGAAGGCGGCGACCUGGGUCGAGACUGACGCUGAGGCGCGAAAGCGUGGGGAGCAAACAGG